UACAGAGGGUGCGAGCGUUAAUCGGAAUUACUGGGCGUAAAGCGCGCGUAGGCGGCUUUUCAAGUCGAUUGUGAAAUCCCCGGGCUUAACCUGGGAACUGCAGUCGAGACUGUCUAGCUAGAGUAUGGGAGAGGGAAGUGGAAUUUCAGGUGUAGCGGUGAAAUGCGUAGAUAUCUGGAGGAAUACCGGUGGCGAAGGCGGCAUCCUGGACCAUUACUGACGCUGAGGCGCGAAAGCUAGGGGAGCAAACGGG
rnacentral:rRNA from 1 species